GACGAACCGUGCAAACGUUGUUCGGAAUCACUGGGCUUAAAGGGCGCGUAGGCGGGCAACCAAGUCCGGGGUGAAAUCUUUCGGCUCAACCGGAAAAGUGCCUUGGAUACUGGUUGUCUUGAGGGAGGUAGGGGCAGGUGGAACUUCCGGUGGAGCGGUGAAAUGCGUUGAUAUCGGAAGGAACGCCGGUGGCGAAAGCGACCUGCUGGAUCUCUACUGACGCUGAUGCGCGAAAGCUAGGGGAGCAAAC
rnacentral:rRNA from 1 species